rnacentral:rRNA from 1 species
AGUGAACGCCGGCGGUAGGCCUAACACAUGCAAGUCGAACAGCAGCACAGUAAGAGCUUGCUCUUACGGGUGGCGAGUGGCGGACGGGUGAGGAAUACAUCGGAAUCUACUUUUUCGUGGGGGAUAACGUAGGGAAACUUACGCUAAUACCGCAUACGACCUACGGGUGAAAGCAGGGGAUCUUCGGACCUUGCGCGAUUGAAUGAGCCGAUGUCGGAUUAGCUAGUUGGCGGGGUAAAGGCCCACCAAGGCGACGAUCCGUAGCUGGUCUGAGAGGAUGACCAGCCACACUGGAACUGAGACACGGUCCAGACUCCUACGGGAGGCAGCAGUGGGGAAUAUUGGACAAUGGGCGCAAGCCUGAUCCAGCCAUACCGCGUGGGUGAAGAAGGCCUUCGGGUUGUAAAGCCCUUUUGUUGGGAAAGAAAAGCAGCAGGUUAAUACCCCGCUGUUCUGACGGUACCCAAAGAAUAAGCACCGGCUAACUUCGUG